GUGCUUGCUUUGGCAGCACAUACACUAAAAUUGAAACAAUACAGAGAUUAGCAUGGACCCUGCUCAAGGAUAACAUGCAAAUUAAUGACGCAUUCCAUUAUUUU